UACGUAGGGGGCAAGCGUUGUCCGGAUUUAUUGGGCGUAAAGCGCGUGUAGGCGGCCACACAGGUCCGCUGUGAAAACUGGAGGCUCAACCUUCAGAGGUCGGUGGAAACCGUGUGGCUAGAGUCCGGAAGAGGAGACUGGAAUUCCCGGUGUAGCGGUGAAAUGCGCAGAUAUCGGGAAGAACACCCGUGGCGAAGGCGGGUCUCUGGGACGGUACUGACGCUGAGACGCGAAAGCGUGGGGAGCGAACAGG
rnacentral:rRNA from 1 species